UACAGAGGGGGCAAGCGUUGUUCGGAAUUACUGGGCGUAAAGGGCGCGUAGGCGGCCUGUUUAGUCGAACGUGAAAUCCCCGGGCUCAACCCGGGAACUGCGUCCGAUACUGGCAGGCUUGAAUCCGGGAGAGGGAUGCGGAAUUCCAGGUGUAGCGGUGAAAUGCGUAGAUAUCUGGAGGAACACCGGUGGCGAAGGCGGCAUCCUGGACCGGCAUUGACGCUGAGGCGCGAAAGCCAGGGGAGCAAACGGG
rnacentral:rRNA from 1 species